UCGAACUCACAGAGAUACACCUGCCUCUGCCUCCCGGUGCUGGGAUUAAAGGCGUGCGCCACCACCAUCCAGCUAUGUGUGGGAUUUCUUUUAAGCGUUCAAUGCCUCCACCAUCAUUUGCCCUCCUGAGGCCCCCUGUACACAAGUGCUGCUUACAUACACGCAGGCAAAAACAUUUAUACACAAGAUCUUUUUUUUUUAAUUGAAAGUGCCUUUGCCAUCUGACUAACAAAACAACCAUGCAUUUAAGCUUUAAAGCUCUUAGGUUAAAAAAAAAAGUUCAAAUAUUAGACUGUUGUAAUGAUGUAGAAUUUCCCUCUGUAUGCUGUGAUUACCAUUAAUGAAUAAAGAAACUGGCUUGGACUGUUGAUAGGGCAGAACUUAGGUAGGUGGGGAAAACUAAACAGAAUGCUGGGAGAAGGCAGGAAGAGAAGCGAUGUAACCCUGCCAGAGACAGAUGUCAGAACCUUGCAGGUAGUGUUCCCAAAUGUGAUGGAGGGCAGAGUCCUGGCCUCAGAGGGUCACAGAACUGCCUGGCACUUGGUUUUUGGUAUCUACUCCCUAUUUCCACACAACAAUGUUAAUGGUAGUUUAUCCCCAUUAUUCCACAGGAUUCAGGAUGCUGACUUCAGUAUGGAUACACAGGACAGCAAGGCAGUAUUGAUGUGUGACUUGAACUAUAUUGGUUUGCUCUUUCAUCAUGUGGCAGCUGGUUAAGUGUAAGCCCGUGGAGUGCUGGAUCUUGUGUGGCUGUAGUCACAGAUGCCUAUGAGCAGCCAUCAUAGGCACUAGGAGUCAGAUCACCAAGAUGACCUAGGAGAGGGCAUAUGUUGCGAGACAGAGACAACUGAGACAUGCGACUAUCUCCAAGCUGCCAGCCACCAUGCUUGCACCAGUGGUCAUCAGUGUUUUCCUGUUAUUUGAAGAAAAUCGAGGACCUUAAAACUUUCCCGCACAUCAGAGGUGGUCCCAGAUAACUACUUGAAGAUGCAGGCUGGAGGGAACUAACUGGGAGAUGGCUGACCUAAUCACGCAGAAGCUCCAAGUGCACAUGCGCCAAGAGCACAAGCCCUCAUGUGUUCUACCCUAUUAGUAUUCCCUAGCUACAUAAAUUCCCCAACCAUGAGUCAAGACUCCCCCAAUGUAAUCAAGAACCACAGGCAUCCAAAUAUAAAUUUGUGAAAUUUUUCUUUACAAGAAACAUAUAAGUCAUUAUAAAGUUGUAAGAUUUCAAAAACAAGUUUUCUUCAGUCCAAAGAGCGUAAACAAUAAAGAAAAGAAACAUUGCAACAGAGGACAGCAAGGCUCUGCAACCACAAAAAUCAUCAGAGAAACCACAGGCCAGGAAGGUCCUCAGGACAGGGUUACUGGAAACGCCAUUCACAGCAAUUUCAUCAAGGUCUUACUACUCUUAAAGGGUUCUGCCAAAAACAAGUAUUUUUAAUGAGAUUAAAUAAACCAAAAUAAUUACAUUACAACUGAGUUCAUGAAAUGUAACAUCAGUAAUCCGUCACAUUGAGGAUGUUUAGGUUUCCAAGCACAGGUCCCUUUGUUAAGUCUGUAUGUAAAGGCAGACAUCAGCCCCUACCAUCAGCCCUACAGUGUCUUCUGCCUGUAGUUCUUCACUGCACCUUACUACAACACGCAUUCCUCUUUACAGCUCACCACGUGACACACACUUUGUUUUCUGUUGAAUAUAAUCCUGGCACAGACUGCGCAGGUCAAACACUGAAGACAACUUCACAGUGAUACUGAACACACAUUUGUCAUCAUCUUGCUCGCUCUGAAAGGCCAUCUGGUACAGCAGGGUCUGACCUAGAAAAUAACUCCCGCACUAAACUGCUUACAGCCUUUUCCAGAUUAACAAAGCCACGUGUGGCACUGUACAAACUUGACUUGGAAAAGAGAUCACACUAGGUAAGUUUUGUUUGUAAAUUUUAACAAUUUAGAAAAAUCAGAAUACAACAUUUCAUGCCUAUAUUUUAAGGCUAUUGAGGCUCAAAAGAAAGCAUUAGAAAUUACAAAAUAUUCUCACCUUUUUUUAUUACAAAUAGAAACUCUGCAAAUGGUAUUUAUAUUAAAGUUGCAAUGUUAGGAUUGCAAAAUGCCCUACACCAGGUCACAAGAUUCAAUUAAGGAAAAAUAUUUACGCAAAGAUUUUUCCAAUUUUCUUAUUUUAUGAAAUGGAAUAGAAAAAUAUCUUAAAUUAAAACCCCACAAAGUGCCAUUCCUCUAAAAAUAAAACCUCCAAAUAAUAUAUGGUUUUAAUUAUUCUUUAUAACCUCUAUAUAUAGUCUAUAUAUAUUAAUAUGUAUUUCUGCAACCUGAGGCCUCCUUAGACACAUCAACAUGUCAGGCUUUGUAUUACAAAUCUAAAUAGGCUAACAUUUGGUUUGCCUUUAGAACUUAUACGAGGAUUAUAAACAUAAAAAACUAAAGCCGUGACUACACAGCCACUCAAAGUAUUUAAACUAGCUCGACCACAUUUACCCAUUCUGAUAUUCACUCAAUAUUAAAUAUCUCAUAUCUAUUGUUAACUGUGAAUCAAGAAAAAUAACUCAAAAGGCAAACAGAACACAUUUAAACUAUGGCAAAUUCCACCAUCUGCAUGUUUAAAGUUUUACUGAUGUUUCUUUACUUGGGGGUGGGGCAGACGUUUCAGAGUUCUCUCCCCAUGUCAUGUGGAUCCCAGAAUGGAACUCAGGCCGUUAGGCCUGUCACCAAGCACCUUUACUGUUGAGCCACUUCGAUGGCCCCUACUUUAUUAAUAUGUAAGACAGAGGGGGGAAAAAACUAUAGCUAUCAAGAUUUUUUGGUUUCUUUUACUCAAGGUCGCACUCUGGCCUCAAACUCCUGGUAAUCCUCAUGCUUUGUCCUCCCAAUUGCAGGCUUAGUCAGUGCACCCAGCUUUCUACUGUCAUUGAGUUAGACACAUUUGAAAAUACUUGAGGGUUAAUUAUUUUCCACUUUAUUUUCCUUUCAUCUGAAAUUCAGAAUUAAUGUGUAACCACAUUAGUGUAUGAAAAGGUUUCAUAGAAAAAUAAAGAACUUUAAAAUUUUACAAUAUUUCGUAUUUCAAGAUUCUUUUAGAUAAAACCAAUGUUACUGUGGUUGAAACACAGAAUCUGAUUUACAGAUUCUCACUUAAUCCCUGUAAUACAAAACAGUUGGUAAAAUGGUGGGUUCAACAAUAUUAAGAAAUCCAACAUGGAAGCUCCACCCAAACACCAUGUGUCUCCAGUGCCCAUGGGAGUGCCUCCUGCAAAGUGCAUGAGAUGGCCUUCUCAGCACUGUGCACACUACCAGUGUCCCAACACUGCCGUACUAAGUACAAAUAAACUGUAUGGUCUACAUUUACUGCUCCAAAAUUUUUAUCAGCUAUACAAGGGAAGAACAAACAUCCUUUUAUGAUGAAGACACUAAAUACCUCAGGCUUGCAGGCCCCUGAGGUCUCACUACUCCAAAAUGUAUGGGGAAAAUCAGGUAACAUACAUGAAAAUGAAUAAAUGUGCCUGUGGGCUACAAACUGUCCAAUGCUGGAUGGACUAGACAUGGAUUUGUAAACAGAAACAUAAUCCUAGGCCCACCAUGUGGCACAGGGCACAGGAAGCCACAUGUGUCAUGUGGGCACAGGAAGCGCAGAGAGCUGAGGAGGAAGAAACAUUAAUGGGCCACACUUUCCAAUCAGACUUGAAUGUGUGUCUGAGUAUGUAUACGUACACGUUACACAGCUAGCUUGCUUACUUCAUAGUCUUCUUGGUGUGCUAGGAACAGUGUCAAACCCACAUCACAUCACCAGGGACCAUGAAUAACUGAGUACUCAGAGGCUAAUCAAUAACCAGCAAUAUGGUUUUGACAUCUCAAUUUUUCUAUACAAUGACAGUAACUAAUCUGCUCUAUAUACACUAAAGAAUGUUGGGUGUGUAUUUCCAGAUGUCAUCUGAAAAUUAAAUUGAAUUGUUACAAUUUGAAGCUAAAUGUGAUUUGCUUUGUUUUAUUAGAAAAAAUACUCAAGCAAAGUCUACAAUCAUCGGUCAAUUAAGAAUGACUUACAAGAACAUGAGACAGUAAAAUAAAAAUACAGGUACAAACUCUAUGUCCAAAACACUUCUAUUUGGCAAUGUUAUAACAAACCAAAAUUUAAAAGGAACAAAGGAGAUUGCAGAGUACUUCGCAGAUAUAGAAUAAAACAAAUGAUGAAGUGCUUAAGCAAAAGAAAAAAAAAAUAGAACACACUGCUUUUCUUCUUUUGAAAAUAGACUCCC